GUUGGUUCCUUCUAAGGGCUGUGAGGGAGAAUCUGCUCCAUGACUCUUCCCUGGCUUCUGGUUUGCUGGAGAUUUUUUACAUUCCUUGGCUUAUAGAUCCCUGUCUUCGUGUUCAUAUGAUGUUCUCCUCUGUGUAUCUGUGCCCAAAUUUCCCCUUUUCAUAGGGAUACCAACCAUAUUAGACUACAGGCCCACCCUACAUCAUUAUAAAUUCGUCUUAACUAAUCACACUUGCAAAGACCCUAUUUCCAAAUAAGGCCAUGUUCUGGUGUAUUGGCAGUAGGACUUCAACUUAUGAAUUUUGGGGGGACACAAUUCAACCCAUAACAACUAGGUUUAUUCAUUUCUACCUUAGAAUCUUUGGUCCAGUCUGACCCAAGAUGGUAAAUAGUUUUCAUUUCAGUUGCUAAAUCUUAUCAAUUAAAGUCAUUACCUGGAGUGUUGUGUGAAGACAUGUGAGUUGACAUCUUUUUCCCUUUAGUGGGAAAGGCAACCGGAAUUGGUUCAGCCCACCUGAGAAACAGGAGAUUUAAAAAAUCCUACUGUCUAUCUUUGAACCAAGGACCCCACCCAAAAGGGAGAAACCUACAAAGAACUACUUUUUUUGGAGCUCUCCAAUUGAAAUGGUUCCCAAAAGGUGAUUGCCAAUUUGCAAUCUUGCUACAGACAAUCACACUAGCAGGGCCAUCAAGCCCAUCCCAUGAGAAUGAUCAAAUCUCCAAUAAGACUCAGCUGUUCCAUGGGGGAGUGAGGGGAAUGAAGCAUUCAGAAAGAUAAAAUCAUCUGGGUUUUCUGAAUGUUUUCCCUGCUGAGGUUGAGGCUGAGAACUUGCAUUGGCUGAAGACUUGCAGCUGGAACCAGAUAGGAACUCUGCCCUCAUCAUGAGACCAUGCCCAGGCUAGUCUGCUGGAAGGAAGUCAGAGGCACACGGAAGAGAGCCACAUUCAGCCAAGGCCAUUCUAGACCAGUUGUUCCCUGUCACUUCACUAAUUGGCCACAGCACAAGGUACACGGAUGGAGCUGGAAGCCAUUAUCCUCAGCAAACUAAUGUAGGAACAGAAAACCAAAUAUUGCAUGUUCUUACUUAUAAGUGGGAGCUGAACAACGAGAACACAUGGACACAGGGAGGGAAACAACACACACUGGGGCCUGUCCAGCAGUAAGGUUGAGGCAGGGAAAGCAUUAGGAAAAAUAGCUAUGCAUGCUGGGCUGAAUACUGGGUGAUGGAUUGAUAGGUGCAGCAAACCACCAUGGCAUAUGUUUACCUUUGUAAGAAACCAGCACAUCCUGCACAUGUACCCUGGAACUUAAAAUAAAAAUUAAAAUGUUUUUUAAAAAAGUCAUGAUGUUUUCUCAGCAGCCCAGUUUACUUUUCCAGACCCCUCUGGCAUGUGUUACUCCAGAAAAAGGCCGGUGUGUGUGAA
rnacentral:lncRNA from 10 species